UACGUAGGGCGCAAGCGUUGUCCGGAAUUAUUGGGCGUAAAGAGCUCGUAGGCGGUCUGUUACGUCCGCUGUGAAAACCCAGGGCUUAACCCUGGGCUUGCAGUGGAUACGGGCAGACUAGAGGCAGGUAGGGGAGAAUGGAAUUCCCGGUGUAGCGGUGAAAUGCGCAGAUAUCGGGAAGAACACCCGUGGCGAAGGCGGCUCUCUGGGACGGUACUGACGCUGAGACGCGAAAGCGUGGGGAGCGAACAGG
rnacentral:rRNA from 1 species